rnacentral:rRNA from 1 species
AUUGAACGCUGGCGGCAGGCCUAACACAUGCAAGUCGAACGAGUGGCGGACGCGUGAGUAAUGUCUGGGAGACUGUGUGAUGGAGGGGGAUAACUACUGGAAACGGUAGCUAAUACCGCAUACCCUCAGAUGUGCCCAGAUGGGAUUAGCGAGUAGGGGGGGGAACGUCUCACCUAGGCGACGAUACCUAGCUGGUCUGAGAGGAUGACCAGCAACACUGGAACUGAGACACGGCCCAGACUCCUACGGGAGGCAGCAGUGGGGAAUAUUGCACAAUGGGCGCAAGCCUGAUGCAGCCAUGCCGCGUGUAUGAAGAAGGCCUUAGGGUUGUAAAGUACUUUCAGCGGGGAGGCGUUACCCGCAGAAGAAGCACCGGCUAACUCCGUGCCAGCAGCCGCGGUAAUAC